rnacentral:tRNA from 1 species
GAGGGCGCAGCUCAGUGGUAGAGCACGUGCUUAGCAGGCGUGAGGUCCUGGGUUCCAUCCCCAGUCCCUCCA